rnacentral:lncRNA from 1 species
UCUUCUUUCCACGUCUCCCUCGAAGAUGCUCUCAGGCUCACCCGCGAUUGUAACGUUCCCUCUGAUCUCAGCUCCUGCAAAAGUAAGCAAACAUUAAAAUAAUAAUAAUAAUAAAAUUACGGUUCCAAAUUUUGAUUUUUAUUUUGAAAAAAAUCUCAAAAAGUCAUCUAAACCGCUAGAUUUGUUUAGAUUUCGUAAUUGACGGCCAAAGCAGCAUUUGGUAGCUUAAUAAUCUGCUACAAUAUCUUUUGUCGUUGGCAAUUUAGUUGGGUUUUUUAAUUUUCUUUCGAUCUAUCGAGGAAUCAUAUUUCUCUCUUUUCG